rnacentral:lncRNA from 1 species
AGGUCUAUACUGGGCGCCCGCUGCGUGCCAGGUACUGCCACCGGCUCUCUCCUCACGGUGGAAUAACUUAACAGAGAAGACAGACAUCAAUCAAAUACCCUGGAAACGUGGAAGCCCCGCGCCAGCUCCAGGCACAGCCGUUCAGGGUGAUGCCAAAGGGAAAUGAGAACGCCUGGUUUCGAGUGCCAGCCUGAGGCCCCUUAAGCCCUAGUGACCAAAACAAGCCACAUGACAAUCUGUCUUCAAGGGGACAGACAGUGCAAGUCUGUCACUGGUUUCUG